CCUUGAUAUUCCUGUGUGCAGGGUGCUAGCCAGACUUCACUGCCUCACACUGGGGACAGUUGUCCAGCUCAUGAAAGAUUGCUGUCAGGGGAUAAAAGCCUCGUUUGGCUCACUUAAGAUUUGUGAAAAACACAAAGAGAGUUUUUGCCUCUGAAAUGACAAGCAGAGAACCACAAGGCGAUGUUGAGAUGCAGAGGAUGGCAGUUUCCCUCCUUGCAGAGUGACUCAUGCCUCCACUCCAGGGUGCAGGGCUUAGAUUCAUGACAGGUCUGGCUUGCUGCUCACAACUAAAACACCUUACAUACAUGUACAUACAUCUAUUUUAUCCUUGUACGGAAAUGAGAGCAAUGCUUAAAAGUGUCAACUCCAUGUGACAGCAAGAUAGUUCUUAGUUUCAAAUCCAGCAAGCAACAAGAGUGACUGUUUCCCUCACAAACACCUCAGAAGAAAACUCUAAGGGACCUCAUCAAAUAACCAGGAAAGAUUAAUCACCUGAGAAGAGAAGAGAAGAGACUGGGAAUCUUCACCCUGCCCAGACAGAUUUUUCAUCUAUUCUCCUGAGAGCAGCUCCAAGAGAUUACCUGUGGGACUCGAUUUGCAUAAUAAGAUGACCUUUGUUCCUGUGCAGUUCCACCCCUCACCUUCCCAUAAUGUCUGCCUCCCACCUCCCAGAAAUCAUACUCAGUUGGUUUAAUGGUAGAGUUAAAGGCCAAAUCUGCCAUAUAGUAAGUAGUACAUGAAGCCAGGAGAAAGGAUCCAGCAUACAAACCAUGACAGAAUACACACACAUUUUGGAGAUGCAUGCUUUCUCAAAGCUCUGAGGACCAUCAUGAAGACAUAUUAACUGAAAGAAUAUGAAGCGAUGUGAAUAGUUCCUAACUAUUGGAGACUAUACAAGAAACAUGACACCAAACUGUGGUUGUCUUCUGGUGAAGAUCUCAGAAGUUUCCACUCAUGGCAAAAGGUGAAGGGGAGC